rnacentral:tRNA from 1 species
GGAAGCGUGCCUGAACCGAACCAAGGACUACUUUGAUAGAGUACUUCACAUGGGUUAAACUCCCAUCACUUCCU